AUUUUUGUGCUUGGGGCGAUGAUGCAAUCAAUAAGGUGUCAAUGGAGGCGUGUCAAUUGCUAGUUGAAGAUUAUUUGAACCCCCGUAAUGUAGGCCUAGGCCUGCCCUUGGCCUUUGAGAAUUUCUUGAAG
rnacentral:snRNA from 1 species